AAGUUUUAUAUUUUAUUGUGUUUUGUGGCAGAUAAAUCUAAUUGUUUCAAGUUUUAAUUAAUUAUUUUAUUGUGUAAAAAAAGAGGUUGAUAAAAUUGAGGAAAUUGAGGAACAUUUUCCCCUAUUUUUUGCUGGUCUCAAAUGCUUUGAUUGUCUUUACCGUGUUAAAUAUAGCCUCUGGAUACUUGAAAUGAAGGUUAUUUAAGGAAGCCAACGCAAGUUAACCUAAGUUAUGAUUUUACAGCAGAACCGCCAAGUAUCAUCAUCAAGAUCGUCAUCGUCAUUAAAAGAAACAUUGAAAAGUUAAAUAUUAGUUUCACUAUCACCAACAUUAUCAUCAUCAUUCUCACCAUCAACAUAAUCAGAGCCACCACCAACACCAUAAAGACCGUAUACAAAACAAGUUUAACAGUUAGACAUGGUUACUUUUUAAUUUACUCAAAUUACUUGAACACCUUAAGAAUCAUCCUGAAAAUUUAACCCCUAACCUUGUAUGAAAAGGAAAGAAAAAUUGCUAAUUUUAAUAUCAAAAACCAUUGAUAAUGAAUACUAAAUAAAAACGGACUCGGUUUCAAGUGGCAAAAUUGUGAGACUAUUCAAGUUUACCUGAUGUGACAACUCGGAAAAAAUAUUUCAAAUCACUUCACUAUUGGAUCAACAAUUGAUCAAGGAAAUCUGAGGACUUAAUCAAGAAUGAUAUUUUGGCUUUUCAAAGACUGACCUCCAUCCACAAAUAAAUAUUGAUGAAUAUUUUUGAUAGAUGUUCAUCAUCUUUAUCGCCUUCAACACCACCAUUUUCAUCCUUUUAAUAACUUCCUUAGAAGAGAGAAGGUAAAGUUAACUGUGGUAAAAAAUAACGAGUUUCCUGGUUAUCUUCAAGUUAACUACAACAGUUUACCUUUUACCUUUUCUCCAUCAUCUUAACAUCUUACAAUCUUCAAUUUCAUCCAUCUUCCCUUUUGUCUCAUCAUCUUCGGUCUAAAUCAUUUUAGAAACACCCAAUUUCAAUCUAAUUUACCAUUAUCUUUAAUUCUUAGGGUCAACAUUUCAACCAGCCAUAUUAACCUUUUCCUUCUAAGUCUUCAUUUCUUGUAAUGUCUUUCUCUCGCUCUCUUCAAAUUACCUCUUUUAUUUCAAUUGAAGAUAGUUUCAAACCCUUACUUUUUUUCACCUAACAAUAUAAAUUAAACCAACACACUACACUUGGAAUGAUAUUAGCUAUUGUUUAACAACGGAAAUCAUUUUCCAUCUUACAAUUAAUCAUAUUGAAGAGAGCUUUUGUAGCAAUCAAUUUUUUCCAUUCACCUUAACAAUCUGGCUCCAUAAUUAAAAGGUUUAUUUGAAA